rnacentral:lncRNA from 1 species
CCGUCUGACCACCAGAACUGGCUCCCAACCACGAAUGCCAUGCGGAUCGGUGUUACCGGUGGCAGACCUCUGGUCUAGAUCAUCCUUAUUCACUUUUUUAAAUUGUAGUACUGUAACCUUAGUUAGUAUUCCUUUUUAUUUUUUUAUUUUAUGUUUGGGAAACGUGACAUUUCAGCUACUGUGAUUUUAUUUGUCAUCAACAUUAGUUCCUACCUGUCCUUGUUGACGGGGGACAGGAAAAAGGUGACGCGCGUUGGAUAAGAGCGGCGUAAAGAAAAAAGUGUACAUGUGCCGUACUGUCUUGCCGUGUGGUGCAUUACAGAAGAAUACCACGUAAAGAAAAUUGUAGCCCGUACCAACAGCGAGAAAUCAGGGUUACAGUAGCUUGUCUGCCACAAAUCGAACGCUGCACGCGGGAGGGCGCACCGUUCAGCUUCCUAUUUUCGGUUUUAAACUGCCAUAAUUUGCUAUAAUUUACUUACGUUCAUAACUUCAUACUAUAACGCGACCAGCGGUUCAUGGUCUUGGCGAUCCAUGCACUAAGUAAUGCAACGUUGUCAUCUCGUGAUCACAUGAUGAUGAUGAGACGCUGUUUUUCCAAUAAUUAAAAUUAAAAAACUGCUUCCACUCAGACUCGAACCCCGGACAAAAAGUUUUAUUGCCAUGCAUGUUAACCACUAGGCCACCAAAGACCUGAUCAUUGGUUGUUCUACAAGAGCCUAUAUGACGUAAGCAACUACGGUGUUUUAGGACCAAAAGUGGGAGUCAAUCGCCACCUACAGGCCAGAAGGACGUAACACACUCUUCCCGCAGUGCAAACCCGGCACUGACGCGGCAGUUUUGAAUCCCAAACACGGUGGGGGUAGACACUUUUACCGGCUGCCUCUGUAGUAAGAUGUGCCUUACGUCUUAGAUGUACUGUAACUGUGAUCCACUCUGUCUCAACAUGAGAGUAAACUUUGAGAUCCCACUAAAUUAUCUCUGGUUGAUUUCUUUAUGAAAAGAUUUCCACAACAAAACUUGUUCAACCCCAAGCCUGUCAUGGAUCAUGGGUUUAGUUGUU